CUUUAGCCCCGACAGAAGGGAAAAUCCUUGUGAGCUGGGGUUCAGCUCACAAGAUUGGAAUGAUGGCGGGAACAAUC
rnacentral:sRNA from 1 species